CAUGCAAGUCGAACGGUAACAGGUCUUCGGAUGCUGACGAGUGGCGAACGGGUGAGUAAUACAUCGGAACGUGCCUAGUAGUGGGGGAUAACUACUCGAAAGAGUAGCUAAUACCGCAUGAGAUCUACGGAUGAAAGCAGGGGACCUUCGGGCCUUGUGCUACUAGAGCGGCUGAUGGCAGAUUAGGUAGUUGGUGGGGUAAAAGCUUACCAAGCCUGCGAUCUGUAGCUGGUCUGAGAGGACGACCAGCCACACUGGGACUGAGACACGGCCCAGACUCCUACGGGAGGCAGCAGUGGGGAAUUUUGGACAAUGGGCGAAAGCCUGAUCCAGCAAUGCCGCGUGCAGGAUGAAGGCCCUCGGGUUGUAAACUGCUUUUGUACGGAACGAAAAGCCUGGGGCUAAUAUCCCCGGGUCAUGACGGUACCGUAAGAAUAAGCACCGGCUAACUACGUGCCAGCAGCCGCGGUAAUACGUAGGGUGCAAGCGUUAAUCGGAAUUACUGGGCGUAAAGCGUGCGCAGGCGGUUUUGUAAGACAGUGGUGAAAUCCCCGGGCUCAACCUGGGAACUGCCAUUGUGACUGCAAGGCUAGAGUGCGGCAGAGGGGGAUGGAAUUCCGCGUGUAGCAGUGAAAUGCGUAGAUAUGCGGAGGAACACCGAUGGCGAAGGC
rnacentral:rRNA from 1 species